CCUACGGGGGACAGCAGUGAGGAAUAUUGGUCAAUGGACGAGAGUCUGAACCAGCCAAGUAGCGUGAAGGAUGACUGCCCUAUGGGUUGUAAACUUCUUUUAUAUGGGAAUAAAACGUUCCACGUGUGGGAUUUUGUAUGUACCAUAUGAAUAAGGAUCGGCUAACUCCGUGCCAGCAGCCGCGGUAAUACGGAGGAUCCGAGCGUUAUCCGGAUUUAUUGGGUUUAAAGGGAGCGUAGGUGGAUUGUUAAGUCAGUUGUGAAAGUUUGCGGCUCAACCGUAAAAUUGCAGUUGAAACUGGCAGUCUUGAGUACAGUAGAGGUGGGCGGAAUUCGUGGUGUAGCGGUGAAAGGCUUAGAUAUCACGAAGAACUCCGAUUGCGAGGGCAGCUCACUGGACUGCAACUGACACUGAGGCUCGAAAGUGUGGGUAUCAAACAGGAUUAGAUACCCUGUAGUC
rnacentral:rRNA from 1 species